GAGAACGUGGUGUAACUGGAUAACAUCUCAGAUUACGAACCUUCAGGUUGGGGGUUCAAGUCCCUCCGUUCUCG
rnacentral:tRNA from 1 species